rnacentral:rRNA from 1 species
UACGGAGGGUGCGAGCGUUGUCCGGAAUCAUUGGGCGUAAAGGGCGCGUAGGUGGCCCGGUCAGCGUGCGGUGAAAGCUCGGGGCUCAACCCCGAGUCGGCCGUGCGAACUGCUGGGCUCGAGCACUGUAGAGGCAGGCGGAAUUCCACGUGUAGCAGUGAAAUGCGUAGAGAUGUGGAGGAACACCGAUGGCGAAGGCAGCCUCCUGGGCCAGCACUGACGCUCAUGCACGAAAGCGUGGGGAGCAAACAGG